rnacentral:miRNA from 8 species
GGUUUUUGUGGAACAGCUCAUG